AGAGUCCUGGUUUGGGCAGACAUCUGAGCUCCCGCCCUGCGGCUGUCAUCCUCACAAUGGCCCCACCAGACCCGAGGGGACAGAGGCCCAGAGGAGGAAGGAGAAGCCUUGUGGCUGGGUGGCAGGAUUCCCUGGAGACUCCAGUGAUUCCCAGGGGCUGGCAAACCAAGCCCAACUUUCGGCUAGCUUGGGAACCCCCUGGCUGGACGCCAGGAGUGAGUAGGAAGAGCCUGGACACUAGCGGGUGGGAGUGGGCGGCGUGGUGGAAGACCACGACCCCAAACCCGAGCCCGACCCCUCCCUUCGUCCAGCCCAAACCUGGGUGUAUUCAGGGCCACGUCUUCUUACCCAUCCUUCUGCAGAAGGAGGUCCCUGAGCGCUUGGCCUAAAGGUUCCUGGACCAAGGAAGGGACAAAGGACUUAGAUACCGAGCACCUACCAUCUGUAAGGAUGAGUUCGCCCCUGCUAAGGAGAUCAUUAAAAAAGUUUCCAACGCAAUUCGGAAAGUCCUUUCUUCUCCCUUCUUCCAACCUCCACAGUCUGCUGUGCCAUUUCCCCCAUGCUGGGAGGACCCAUCUUCCAAGGUCUACCCACCUCUCAAGCUCCAGCUCAUAAAGCCUGUUUGGAACAGUGCCGGCCAAAUCUGAUUCCUCUCUCCUCUGAAAGCCCAGCACACUCAGUCUGUACCUUUCUCAGGGCACAGCAUGUGGCCUGUCUCAUAUUCUAGUGAUCUGUUUACUAAUCCUGUUCUUCUAACCAGAUUAGAAAGUCCUUGAGGCAGAAACAAAGUCUGCUUCUCUGAGCCUUCUCCCAUGGCUUGAGCUCAUCCCCCACAGGCCAAGCUUGGCACUGGAGUUGAUGUUCAAUAAAUGUUAGGUGUAUUGAAAUGAUUUCCUGCCCUUGGGCAGUUUGCAGGCCAGUUGAAGAGACAAACACAUGGCAUGUGAGGUUAAAUAAUAACCCAAGCCAGCAGGUGGUGAGUACCAAAUGUGUGAAAGCUAUAGGGAAUCAGUGGGAAGGAGACGGUGAUAAGGGAGAAAGAUCCCCGAAGGCUCUAGGCUUUGAGCUGUGUGUGUGGAGGAGGAGAGAGAAGGUGUGGAGGUGACUCAGUCUGGUUUACAUCACCGCAGACCCGCCUACACACUAGGCACUUCACCAUGCAUUAUCUCUAAUAUUUAAGAGAGCGGGCUGGGUUUGGGAAGAGUGGAGGGGACCCAAGCCAGACGUGCCCAGAGCCAACAAGAGCUCAGAGGCAGCCUUGGAUCUGGGCUUCCCACUCUCACUCCCCAGGCACUGCCUGUUCCCUGGCCUGCCGCUCCUACAUACUACACCCAAGAGAGCUGCCCAGCACUGCCCAGCUCUGGAUGCCCUCUGGUCCCUCCCUAGUGCACAACUGGCUGUGUGACCUUGGGCCAGGCACUUCCUUCCCUACACCUCUCCGUCGUCGUCGUCUGUGCCUCCAUUGCGGCAUUUCCAGGCUGUGACUCUGUGAGUCAGUGUCCCAGGGAUGCUUGCCACCUCCCCUGAUGUGACCUGGGCUGCUGUGGCUCUCCCCUCCCCUAGCCCCUACCCCCCUUGUUGCUUCCUCCCAGUCUGGAGCUGCUGAGAGGAACACUGGGUACAGAGUGUGAGCAGGGAUAGGAGGUUUCCUGUGGUUGCAAAAGGAACAUCGGGACUUUCCCUGCUGUGGGAGAAGUGGGGGAGGAGGAGGCAGGGCCAACCUCGAAGGAACCUCUGCUCUCUUCCCUCCCCUCAGUGCUCCCAGCUCUGAAAAAGGCUGGUACAGUUUGUUACGCUGGGGCCGGAAUGUACCGUGUGUUUCAUAUGGCCUCUGUCCAGUCCUACACUGGUUGCUUUAUAUUUAUACUUCCUUCUUCAGCCGUGGCAUCCUGCUGCCUGUCACCCCUGCUCUCAUCUGCCCACCUCCCAC
ensembl:lncRNA